rnacentral:rRNA from 1 species
GGUCGUUGAAGGGAACCAUGCCUGAUGGAGGGGGAUAACUACUGGAAACGGUAGCUAAUACCGCAUAACGUCGCAAGACCAAAGAGGGGGACCUUCGGGCCUCUUGCCAUCGGAUGUGCCCAAAUGGCUUUAGCUAGUAGGUGGGGUAACGGCUCACCUAGGCGACGAUCCCUAGCUGGUCUGAGAGGAUGACCAGCCACACUGAAACUGAGACACGGUCCAGACUCCUACGGGAGGCGGCAAUGGGGGAUAUUGCACAGUGAGCGCAAGCCUGAUGCGGCCAUGCCGCGUGUAUGAAGAAGGCCUUCGGGUUGUAAAGUACUUUCAGCGGGGAGGAAGGCGAUAAGGUUAAUAACCUUGUCGAUUGACUUUACCCGCAAAAAAAGCACCGGCUAACUCCGUGCCAGCAGCCGCGGUAAUACGGGAGGGUGCAAGCGUUAAUCGGAAUUGCUGGGCGUAAAGCGCACGCGGGCGGUCUGUCAAGUCGGAUGUGAAAUCCCCGGGCUCAACCUGGGAACUGCAUUCGAAACUGGGCAGCUAGAGUCUUGUAAAGGGGGGUAGAAUUCCAGGUGUAGCGGUGAAAUGCGUAUAGAUCUGAAUGAAUACCGGGGCGAAGGCGGCCCCCUGGACAAAGACUGACGCUCAGGUGCGCAAGCGUGGGGAACAAACAGGAUAGAUACCCUGGUAGUCCACGCCGUAAACGAUAUCACUUGUAGGUUGUGCCCUUGAAGCGUGGCUUCCGGAACUACGCGUUAGAUCGACCGCCUGGGGAGGUACGCCGCCAGGUUAAAACAUGAAAUGAAUUGACGGGGGGCCCCGAGCAGCCGGUGGGAGCA